GACGAACGCUGGCGGCGUGCUUAACACAUGCAAGUCGAACGGUAAGGCCCUUCGGGGUACACGAGUGGCGAACGGGUGAGUAACACGUGGGUGAUCUGCCCUGCACUUCGGGAUAAGCCUGGGAAACUGGGUCUAAUACCGGAUAGGACCCUGGGAUGCAUGUCCUGGGGGGGAAAGCUUUUGCGGUGUGGGGUGGGCCCGCGGCCUAUCAGCUUGUUGGCGGGGUGAUGGCGUACCAAGGCGACGACGGGUAGCCGGCCUGAGAGGGUGACCGGCCACACUGGGACUGAGAUACGGCCCAGACUCCUACGGGAGGCAGCAGUGGGGAAUAUUGCACAAUGGGCGCAAGCCUGAUGCAGCGACGCCGCGUGAGGGAUGACGGCCUUCGGGUUGUAAACCUCUUUCAGCACCGACGAAGCGCAAGUGACGGUAGGUGCAGAAGAAGGACCGGCCAACUACGUGCCAGCCGCCGCCGUAA
rnacentral:rRNA from 1 species